CUUUCUUUAGUACAGUUGUUGUUUGAAGCAAAGAACCCGGUAAAUUUUAAAUCUAAACUGGAUUUUCCCCUUGGUCAUAUUGGCUUGUAAUUUUGGAAGCUCUCCUCUUAUGCCUUUAAUGUGCACUUCCUCACCCUGGACCAUCUAAGGAAUAUUUUGUUGAAUAUAUGCCUGGCCCUACAAGCUAUGCUGACAUGGCCUGAAUUAUUCUGUGAGGUUUCAUUCAUUAUGACUAGCUGGCCGAAUUCGGUGUCUGAUUCUUCUGCAGCGCCCAAUAUUCCUGCUGGGCCGAAAUCCAACAAUUCUUUGGUUCCAAUUCCAGAGAAACCUGUGCCUGAGGAACCUCCCAGUCUUGAAGAUGUCCAACCAUUGGGACCUCUGGUGCCCAUUGCACCAUGGCCACCACUGCCUGAAUGGCCUGAUUCAGAGACCUCCUGAAGACUCGUCCUCCUCCUCCUCUGAUGAUGAUUAAUUUUUCUCCAGCCAUAUUUUACAGAGAUGCCUCUGGCUGUCAUAGAAAUGCAGUUUACCUUUCCCCCCCAUAUACUUAGGGAGGCUUCACACGACCACAAGCAAGUCUCAAGAACAUUUAGAUAAAAUGUUGGUGAUUGGGAAUGCAUGCUCCUGACAGGCGUGAUGUCUGAACCCACACAAAUCUGGCUUCUGCACUCUCCACCUGACAUCCUCCUGACCUUCUCAGCCCAACUUCCAGAUCUUGGGGAUGGAAGUUGGGAGAACGUUGGGUGGAGAAUCUCAGGAAUGGUAUUUGGGUAGGUUUGGAUGUCAUGCCCGCUGGGAGCACGCUUUUCCGGUCACCAACAUUUUACCUACAUGUUCUUUACUUAUUCCUGACAUUCUACUUAAAUGUUUCUGACUUACAGACUUGCUGAUGAUCAUGUGAAGCAAUCAUAAAUUCCUAUGUUCAUCUGAAGCCACCAAAUAUUAUUCAGAAUCCAGACUGGUCUCUGCUGUAAGACUUUCUACUACCUUGGAAACUGAGUGACAACUGAAGAUUUUGGCCCACCAAGUUUAAUAUCCAUUGAUACAAGUUUAUUAUCCAUUGAUGAAGCAACACAACUUUUGUAGCAAUGAACUUGCUAAGAAGAUGCCCGUCAAUCUACUCACCAACUGACACAGCCACUAGUGUUGCACAUGAUAUUCUGUCUGCCCACUUGAUUCAUAGGCGUAUCCUAACUACCUAUCUGAUCCAAAAUGGCAGAUCCUGAGCUAUAUUCAGCCUGCUUUAUUACAUGCUGGAUGGUGGCUCUGUCACCUACUUGUGUUGUAAAAAAAGCUUCCAAUAAAAUAUUGGAAAAGUG